UACGUAGGGUGCGAGCGUUACUCGGAAUUACUGGGCGUAAAGCGUGCGUAGGCGGUUCGCUGUGUCCGAUGUGAAAGCCCCGGGCUUAACCUGGGAAUGGCAUUGGAAACUGGCGGGCUUGAGUGCGGCAGAGGGGGGUGGAAUUCCGCGUGUAGCAGUGAAAUGCGUAGAGAUGUGGAGGAACACCGAUGGCGAAGGCAGCCUUCUGGGCCAACACUGACGCUCAUGCACGAAAGCGUGGGGAGCAAACAGG
rnacentral:rRNA from 1 species